GUGACUUCGUUGCCGCGACCUCUUGUCACCAUUCAACCGCACUUAAAAGUUGCACGAGGGCAACGCAUCCUCGCAUGAGACUCGACUCGAUUGAUGUGUCCAGGACAAGGGCUCAUAUCCAUGGGAGUUCGGUUUGCUCUGGUUUCUUCCAAACACUUUUUUCUAUACUUCUGAGCAUCGCCAGCAAUGACGGGC